GACGAACGCUGGCGGCGUGCUUAACCCAUGCAAGUCGAACGGAAAGGCCCUGCUUGCAGGGUGCUCGAGUGGCGAACGGGUGAGUAACACGUGGGUGAUCUGCCCCUUACUUUGGGAUAAGCCUGGGAAACUGGGUCUAAUACUGGAUAGGACCAUGCUGUAGGUGGUGUGGUGGAAAGAUUAGUUUCGGUAAGGGAUGAGCUCGCGGCCUAUCAGCUUGUUGGUGGGGUAAUGGCCUACCAAGGCGUCGACGGGUAGCCGGCCUGAGAGGGUGGACGGCCACAUUGGGACUGAGAUACGGCCCAGACUCCUACGGGAGGCAGCAGUGGGGAAUAUUGCACAAUGGGCGCAAGCCUGAUGCAGCGACGCCGCGUGGGGGAUGACGGCCUUCGGGUUGUAAACUCCUUUCAGCCAUGACGAAGCCCUUGUGGUGACGGUAGUGGUAGAAGAAGCACCGGCUAACUACGUG
rnacentral:rRNA from 1 species